rnacentral:lncRNA from 1 species
CUUGAUUGUGCUUUCCAAAUAGCUCAUUCUAGUGUCUUAGCUGUGACAAAUUCCAAAUGAAUGUGAAUUUAAGUAUUACACACUAUUUAGCAUCUCAAGAGCGCUUCUUGUAAACUCAGUCUUUUAGGAAAGGGCAUGCAGUGAGGAAAAAAUAUUUGGGAACGGUUAAGUUGCUUGUGAUGAUGCUUUCACCUCAAAGGUGCUAUGUCUAGUCUUAUCCUCCCUCUGUAACCAAAAUAUCAUUUCUCCCUUAAAUAAAUUUGAGAUUUUGCAUAGGCUGUGCAAACAGCACCCGUGCUAUCCUUGGGGCACAAAUACCCUGCCUACAGAUAAUGCUAUUACAAUUCCUGCUUGGCAGACUGUAAAUUAGUGAGCCGACAGACUGAACUGCUGUCACUAGCCUUUCACAUGCUCAGCUGACUGCUACUUACUGGGAUAAGAAAUUUGUAAUAGAAUGGCUUGAUCUGGCUUUCCUUAGCUGCAUCAGGUAGCAAGGGGAUUUAAGUCAGACUGACACUAACUGUUUGGAGUGGUUCCCACAGAUAAAACUGUCUGGCCACGCUAGCACUGAGAGGAAAAGGAUAUAUUUGUAUAACAUUAAUGCUUUAUAUCUCCAGCCUUUUCUUCCUUCUCCUUUCAAGAUGGGUGAUGGUGACCCAUUGUUCAGAGCCCACAUAAAUCCUGCCAACAAUACAACAUAUUACAGUCAUUUUAAAAUUGUGAAAUACAGAUAAGUUCUCCUGCUCAUUUGAUUUAUCCCAUAUUGGUUCAGCCUGAAUUUCCCUUCCAGAAACAAAUCUUCAUGUCUUCCAAAUUACUUGACAUACAGUGGUACAAAUUCUCUUCACUUAUUUCAUAUUGAUUAUUAUCUUCCUGAAAUAUUUCUUCCUGAGAUUACCUUUUCAGUAACAGUCUCCUCUGCAUUUCCAGACAAGCCUGCAUGUCACAGGAGCGUGCCAGUUACAGGUUUUAAUUGCAUUCCCAGCUCCAGGAAAGCUGCAGAUAUCACGCUGUAAUUGUUCUGCCUAGUAAAAUGUGGAUGCAAGCAAUAUAGCAAAGUGCCUGCUGGAUUGAUGACUGACAUGUGGCCAGAGCAAUGCUGUCUCUUUUGAAGUUAAAAUUAUGUUUUGCAUGUGGGAGAAGGAUUUGUUAUUGGAAUGUACAGGAUAAAAGUUAGAUAAAAGCCACAUAAAUGUGUGCUUUUUUUUGUUUUGUUUUUGUUGUUGGUUUUUUUUUUUUUUUUACUCUUUUUUUCCCCUCUCUUUUUCUUUUUUGAUUGUUUACCUCCAUUUAGGCACUGCUCUGCGUGGAACCUCUUGGCAUCAAUUGCUG